GAUGAACGCUGGCGGCGCGCCUAACACAUGCAAGUCGAACGGUGAAGUCCCUUCGGGGACGGAUCAGUGGCGGACGGGUGAGUAACGCGUGAGUAACCUGCCCUUAUGAGUGGAAUAACGUCUGGAAACGGACGCUAAUACCGCAUAAGCCUACAGUACCGCAUGGUACAGCAGGAAAAACUCCGGUGGUAUGAGAUGGACCCGCGUCUGAUUAGCUAGUUGGUGGGGUAACGGCCUACCAAGGCGACGAUCAGUAGCCGACCUGAGAGGGUGACCGGCCACAUUGGGACUGAGACACGGCCCAAACUCCUACGGAGCAGCAGUGGGGAAUAUUGCACAAUGGGCAAAGCCUGAUGCAGCGACGCCGCGUGAGCGAAGAGUAUUCGGUAUGUAAAAGCUCUAUCAGCAGGGAGAAAAUGACGGUACCUGACUAAGAAGCA
rnacentral:rRNA from 1 species